UACGUAGGGUGCAAGCGUUAAUCGGAAUUACUGGGCGUAAAGCGUGCGCAGGCGGCUUUGCAAGACAGAUGUGAAAUCCCCGGGCUUAGCCUGGGAACUGCAUUUGUGACUGCAUGGCUGGAGUGCGGCAGAGGGGGAUGGAAUUCCGCGUGUAGCAGUGAAAUGCGUAGAGAUGUGGAGGAACACCGAUGGCGAAGGCAGCCCCCUGGGCUGAGAUUGACGCUCAGGCACGAAAGCGUGGGGAGCAAACAGG
rnacentral:rRNA from 1 species